CUAUUCAGUUUCCACACUCAUUUUGUAUCUUUCUUAAAUGAGUCGUCUAUAGAUGUAUGGUUAAAUUACAAUAAAAGGAUAAGGAUUUUAUGGCUUUGGUUUAUAAUUGGAGUGAAAAGGGAUCUUCACAUUGUCAAAACGGUUUAUACUAUCUACUCUUAACUUCCACUUAUUAAUUACGCAGGUGACGAAAGGUGUUGUAGUUUCAAGAAUAAGAGGAAGGUGAAUGAACUAUGUAGCAACGAAUGGUUAAGCUUCACAAACAGAAAAUGUUUCGAUUCUUUAGCUAAUGAAAUAACUCAACAGAAAGAAACAAGUGACAUUCCACGCUUAGGAUUGGUACCACCUAUUCAAAGAAUUGCUGAAGAGCAACCACGCAGAUUUUUGGAUAACAGCUUUACCAGUGGUUUUAGAACAACUAAUGUUGCAAAAACUAUAGACAUAAAUGGAAAACCCAGCAUUCAGACAACAGAGGACACGCUGUUCUUGGGGUCUAAUGUGUUGUCACAGGUGACUUUAUCAAGAGAUGACUCAAAGCAUGCUAGGAUGAAAAGAGCAGCCAAGAUAGCUAAGAAAAGGAAGUGUGUGGGUGUUGCUUCCCAACAAGGUAAACAUACCAUACUCUGUAGUAGAGUAUUCAAAGAAAUUUCCUUCUUUCCAAGCAAGAGCAUCAAAAUAUGUUGCAUCGACUGAUAGCCAUGAUUAUAGUUAGUUAAUGAACAAAAAAAUUAUUGAUAUCAUAGGUUAUCCAUGUGACUCAUAAAAAAUUUUUCGUACAGAAGUUACUAUUUCAUUAAUUGACAUCCUAAUUCAUAACUAAUUUUUCAGCUUGUAGUAGAGAUAAUACAAUUUAUGAUAACAAUGAAUUGGGACUACAAAGGCAUCCAGCCUAUUAGGUUAAAGGAUCUUUAUAUAUAUAAGCAACUAUUGGUUGCUGAUACAUCUAUUACUCAUUGGAAACCAUUAGGUGUUUUGGUUUUGU